GACGAACGCUGGCGGCGUGCUUAACACAUGCAAGUCGAGCGGUAAGGCCCUUUCGGGGGUACACGAGCGGCGAACGGGUGAGUAACACGUGGGUGACCUGCCUUUAGCUCUGGGAUAAGCCUGGGAAACCGGGUCUAAUACCGGAUAUGACUCCGCGGCGCAUGUUGUGGGGUGGAAAGCCUUGUGCGGCUGGAGAUGGGCCCGCGGCCUAUCAGCUUGUUGGUGGGGUGAUGGCCUACCAAGGCGACGACGGGUAGCCGGCCUGAGAGGGCGACCGGCCACACUGGGACUGAGACACGGCCCAGACUCCUACGGGAGGCAGCAGUGGGGAAUCUUGCGCAAUGGGCGAAAGCCUGACGCAGCGACGCCGCGUGAGGGAUGACGGCCUGG
rnacentral:rRNA from 1 species